rnacentral:rRNA from 1 species
CGUAGGCAGCGAGCGUUGUUCGGAGUUACUGGGCGUAAAGGGUGCGUAGGCGGUUGUUUAAGUUUGGUGUGAAAUCUCCCGGCUCAACUGGGAGGGUGCGCCGAAUACUGAAUGACUUGGAGUGCGGGAGAGGAAAGUGGAAUUCCUGGUGUAGCGGUGAAAUGCGUAGAUAUCAGGAGGAACACCGGUGGUGUAGACGGCUUUCUGGACCGUAACUGACGCUGAGACACGAAAGCGUGGGUAGCAAACAGGAUUAGAUACCCUGGUAGUCCACGCCCUAAACGAUGCAUAUUUGGUGUGGGCAGUUCAUUCUGUCCGUGCCGGAGCUAACGCGUUAAAUAUGCCGCCUGGGGAGUACAGUCGCAAGGCUG